GAUGAAGAACGUAGCGAAAUGCGAUAAGUAAUGUGAAUUGCAGAAUUCAGUGAAUCAUCGAAUCUUUGAACGCACAUUGCGCCCGCCAGUAUUCUGGCGGGCAUGCCUGCUCGAGCGUCAUUUCAACCAUCAAGCCCCAGGCUUGUGUUGGGGACCUGCGGCUGCCGCAGGCCCUGAAAACCAGUGGCGGGCUCGCUGUCACACCGGGCGUAGUAGAUUUUAUCUCGCUCAGGGCGUGCUGCGGGUUCCGGCCGUUAAAAAGCCUUUUUUACCCAAGGUUGACCUCGGAUCAGGUAGGAAGACCCGCUGAACUUAAGCAUAUCAAUAAGCGGAGGA
rnacentral:misc_RNA from 1 species